GGGGUUGUGGCUCAGUGGUAGAGUCCUCACCUGGUACGUGCAAGGUCCUGGGUUCAAUUCUCAGCACCA
rnacentral:tRNA from 1 species